GUAAGAUUUUGGUACAGAGGCUGCUAAAGACUUCUGAGGUUCCAGCUCUUAAUACCUGAAGCAUAAGGCCUAUCCCUUAAGAAAUCUGGAAAAGAGGGAAAUUUGUGAAACUGCCUUUCUGGAUUGAACCAAUGUUAAGUAAACAUGAUUAAUUACUGGAGCAAAUUAACAGAGGAAAUGAUAGCUCUUCUAACAUUUCAAGUUUUCAGAUGGUGUCUGGUGCCUGACUGGUGGACAUCUCUUAGCUAAACACAAAUUUAGGGGCUUCAUACAAUUGCUUUGGAGCUCUAUGGCUCGUAUAAUAGAUUUCAGACUCAAGAGUUUCAAACCAGCAGGUGGGAGAUGGGCAACGGAGGACUUGGAGUCAUCCCUCCCUUGCUGUGUGGCUAUAACCACCAAACACGAGACCUGCAUGUCACACCGUCUGCCCCCACAGAAGGAAAGCUAAGGAAUUACUUCAAGGAAAAAGCUGAAGUGAAUAAAGUGAGAAUCACUUAGAUUAAGGAAGAAUGAACUUUGAUAAAACCGGCUGAAGCGCAGUAGUGAUGGAACCAGAACUGACUUCAGCAUGUAACAAUCCAACACUACAAACCACCCUCCUGCUGCACCCAACGUCACCCACCUGCCGCACCACACCAAAGCCCGAUCCUGUUUUGCCAACUGAGCAGACUUUGCACCAUCCUUUUUGUCCAGACACUUAUGACAGAUGGAGCCCGAAGUCAUGGACUGAAUCAACUCAACAUUUUAUAGAGAUGGCCCGUAGACUGUGGGAAUGAUAUGUGUGUGUAUAUAUUAAAAGACAGGAAAAGCGGUGGUGAUUAACCGGAAAUGUAUCGGGAAGUGUGGGAUUUGGGCAUGAUGUAAAUGGUGUAGAAUAAGGGGUGGAUAUUGUCCUGGGUUUGGCUGGGAUAGAGUUAAUUUUCUUCUUAGUAGCUGGUACAGUGUGUUUUGAAUUUAGUGUGAGAAUAAUGUUGAUAACACACUGAUGUUUUCAUUGUUGCUAAGUAGCACUUAGGAUAAGUUAAGAAUUGUUCAGUUUCCCAUGCUCUGCCAGCAAGCAGGUGUACAAGAAGCUGGGAGGGACCAUGGCCAGGAAAACUGACCUGACCUAGCCAAAGGGAUAUUCCAUACCAUAGGAUGUCAUGCUCAGUAUAUAAACUGGGGGGAGUUG